rnacentral:rRNA from 1 species
UUAAGUUAUUAAGGGCGCACGGUGGAUGCCUUGGCACUAGAAGCCGAUGAAGGACGUUACUAACGACGAUAUGCUUUGGGGAGCUGUAAGUAAGCUUUGAUCCAGAGAUUUCCGAAUGGGGAAACCCAGCAUGAGUUAUGUCAUGUUAUCGAUAUGUGAAUACAUAGCAUAUCAGAAGGCACACCCGGAGAACUGAAACAUCUUAGUACCCGGAGGAAGAGAAAGAAAAUUCGAUUCCCUUAGUAGCGGCGAGCGAAACGGGAAGAGCCCAAACCAACAAGCUUGCUUGUUGGGGUUGUAGGACACUCUAUACGGAGUUACAAAGGACGACAUUAGACGAAUCAUCUGGAAAGAUGAAUCAAAGAAGGUAAUAAUCCUGUAGUCGAAAAUGUUGUCUCUCUUGAGUGGAUCCUGAGUACGACGGAGCACGUGAAAUUCCGUCGGAAUCUGGGAGGACCAUCUCCUAAGGCUAAAUACUCUCUAGUGACCGAUAGUGAACCAGUACCGUGAGGGAAAGGUGAAAAGCACCCCGGAAGGGGAGUGAAAUAGAACCUGAAACCGUGUGCUUACAAGUAGUCAGAGCCCGUUAAUGGGUGAUGGCGUGCCUUUUGUAGAAUGAACCGGCGAGUUACGAUUUGAUGCAAGGUUAAGCAGUAAAUGUGGAGCCGUAGCGAAAGCGAGUCUGAAUAGGGCGUUUAGUAUUUGGUCGUAGACCCGAAACCAGGUGAUCUACCCUUGGUCAGGUUGAAGUUCAGGUAACACUGAAUGGAGGACCGAACCGACUUACGUUGAAAAGUGAGCGGAUGAACUGAGGGUAGCGGAGAAAUUCCAAUCGAACCUGGAGAUAGCUGGUUCUCUCCGAAAUAGCUUUAGGGCUAGCCUCAAGUGAUGAUUAUUGGAGGUAGAGCACUGUUUGGACGAGGGGCCCCUCUCGGGUUACCGAAUUCAGACAAACUCCGAAUGCCAAUUAAUUUAACUUGGGAGUCAGAACAUGGGUGAUAAGGUCCGUGUUCGAAAGGGAAACAGCCCAGACCACCAGCUAAGGUCCCAAAAUAUAUGUUAAGUGGAAAAGGAUGUGGCGUUGCCCAGACAACUAGGAUGUUGGCUUAGAAGCAGCCAUCAUUUAAAGAGUGCGUAAUAGCUCACUAGUCGAGUGACACUGCGCCGAAAAUGUACCGGGGCUAAACAUAUUACCGAAGCUGUGGAUUGUCCUUUGGACAAUGGUAGGAGAGCGUUCUAAGGGCGUUGAAGCAUGAUCGUAAGGACAUGUGGAGCGCUUAGAAGUGAGAAUGCCGGUGUGAGUAGCGAAAGACGGGUGAGAAUCCCGUCCACCGAUUGACUAAGGUUUCCAGAGGAAGGCUCGUCCGCUCUGGGUUAGUCGGGUCCUAAGCUGAGGCCGACAGGCGUAGGCGAUGGAUAACAGGUUGAUAUUCCUGUACCACCUAUAAUCGUUUUAAUCGAUGGGGGGACGCAGUAGGAUAGGCGAAGCGUGCGAUUGGAUUGCACGUCUAAGCAGUAAGGCUGAGUAUUAGGCAAAUCCGGUACUCGUUAAGGCUGAGCUGUGAUGGGGAGAAGACAUUGAGUCUUCGAGUCGUUGAUUUCACACUGCCGAGAAAAGCCUCUAGAUAGAAAAUAGGUGCCCGUACCGCAAACCGACACAGGUAGUCAAGAUGAGAAUUCUAAGGUGAGCGAGCGAACUCUCGUUAAGGAACUCGGCAAAAUGACCCCGUAACUUCGGGAGAAGGGGUGCUCUUUAGGGUUAACGCCCAGAAGAGCCGCAGUGAAUAGGCCCAAGCGACUGUUUAUCAAAAACACAGGUCUCUGCUAAACCGUAAGGUGAUGUAUAGGGGCUGACGCCUGCCCGGUGCUGGAAGGUUAAGAGGAGUGGUUAGCUUCUGCGAAGCUACGAAUCGAAGCCCCAGUAAACGGCGGCCGUAACUAUAACGGUCCUAAGGUAGCGAAAUUCCUUGUCGGGUAAGUUCCGACCCG